CUGAACCUUUGUAUUGCACUAAACUACAGGGUCUCAAUUUUGUUUAAUAUCUAAGUACUUUUUAUAUAUGAAAGCAUACAGAUCCACAUUCAGAACUAAUUUCACCACAUGGAGUUUGAGGGUAUUAUUGUAGAUGAACAGAACACUGGCAUGAAUACUUGAGAAUAAUACUUGAGCACUAUAUACACCUUAUUUUGCAAUGCGGAAGUAAGCAAGUGGUUGCAUUUCCGGCUGGUGUAAGAAAGUUCUGUUGUCAUUAGCUGCAAUUGUAACAGCCACCCUCAGCACUAAAAGAGUUCAGCUUUAGGUAAGUAUAAGGUAAGUAGAACUGAGGGUGUUUAGGACCAGAGCAGUAGUAUAACAGACAAAUAAUGGUAAGUUGAAUUUGCUGUUAUUAUUUCAGUAAAUUUAUGUUUGGUAAUUAACAGCGUUUUUUCAAAGGCAGGAAAAUAAACAAAUACAAUGCAAAUGUAUACAAUUAUACUGAACAAUAAACAAAAUAAAGAAAAUAAAGAAUUAAGAAAACCAGGUCUCUUUGUCUCUUUUGUCUUAUUGGUUUAAACAUUUAUAACCAUUUUUAAGAGUAUUUAUUUUCACUCGCUCUAACUGAGUUUAAGUUUAGUUUAUCUAUUUUACAGCUUUAAUGUGUUAUUGGUUUAGUGUUGUAUUUUUAGUUCCAAUUUAGUCUUUAAAGUAGGUUAACGUGGUUGUUCAAGCAGCUCAAAAAUUACAUUUGUAAAUGAUAAUUUACAUUCAAUAAAUCAACUUUCCAACCUUUUCAAUUAGAAUAUCUCUUCAACACUCAGCAAUAGUUUCAACAAAACAAAGACAUUGUACACAAUUCACAUAUCAAUGGCUUUUUGUUUCUUGUUUUUUUACUUUCUUUUUAUUACCUAAAUUGUCUGAGUCCAGAUGCAAAAUGAAACCCUUCUAGAUUCAACAGUUCAGUCCUACUGUUGGCUGUAUGUAAAAUGUACACCGUGGCUGUGUGAACUCGUGGAUUGCCUCUGAUGUAGGGAAAAUGUUGGUGAAAGUUGAGGGGGAAUUAAUGUCUGUCUGAUCCACCUUAUGAUGAACACAGUAAUUCUUCUUUCCAGGCAAAGAAACAGUUCAAGGAAUCCUCAUCAAAUAUUGUCCUGUGGGUGGCUCGCCAUCUUUUAUCAAGAGCAAUGGUAGUAGACUAGGUUAUAAUACCACUUUUACAACUUUUACAGCGAAACGCAACAACACACAAUAACUCAAACAAAACAAAAUAACCAUCAACUCACCUUCAAGAUCAAAUAACAACCUUUUCUUCAGACUUGUUGGCUGUUUUUAUCUUAGAUCUCACUUUUUUUAAUUUAUAUUUUAUCAGUAAUUUUCUCUGUGUCUCUUUUCUUCUCUUCACUUCCCAAUUACAGACAACCUGUUCUGUCUCUUGAUUGGUCAAUACUAGAUCUCUCUCUGCACAAUUCUUAAAUGGGCAGCGGAUUCUGUUUAAAACCAGUAUCUACACUGGGUUACACCCUCCCCUCUUUACUCUUUGCACAUCCCUGUGCAUCCAAAUAACAAGCUCCUUUGUUAUUGGCUUGGGCUGGUCUGUGAAACUAUUCUCAACAAUGGAAUCAGUUCUGGAAGAAGGACUGUACUAUGGAGACUUAUGGGUUCCCCAACUUAGGGAUUACAGGAACUUUCUGUAAAGCCCUGGCAGGAAGUGUGACUAGACAGACAGUGCACAGGAUACCACCAGGCAAGGACGACAUGGAGGGGGGGCUCUAUUAAAACACAUUUAUCUGUAUGUCAUAUACAUAUGUCAUAUUCGUAUGUCAGACUUUGACCAGGAGGAACCACUUCAGGCUUUUUGCCGGGCAGCUGCACAAAUCCAAUGAUACUGUUAACCUUUUUGCUUGGAUUGAUGUUGAAGAAUUUUCAAGACAGUUUUGAAGCCAUAUGGUAAGAUCUGGUGAACAUCAGUGGACUGGGUUUUAGAGUAUUUUUCAUAGCCCAAAUCAAUAGUAUUUGUGCCUAUUAGCACUGGAGACUGAGAACUGCCACAGUUAUCUGAGGUAACUAAGGAAAGUGUGGAAAUGUAAAGAAGGCUUUUGGACAUGUAAUGUUGACUUCAAUGUAGCCAAGAUAAGGAAAAAGUUGACCAUUUGCUAACUUCAAACAGAUUAUCAAGAGGACUGAUUUUCAAGUGUGAAAGGUUCUGCUUGUAGUAUCAGGGAACGGAGGUUAUGAAAGUAACCAGGACAUUUUUAUAUUAGAUCUCACUUUUUGCUUGAUAUUUUAUCAGUCAUUUUCUCUGCGUCUCUUUUCUUCUCUUCUCUUCCCAAUUACAGACUACAUGCUGUACUGUAUAUAUACUGAAUAAAUUCUGUGCUUCAAAGUCUUAUGUGUUGUUUAAUGAAUAAUGUUUUAGCGCAAGAUCUUGCUGACGAGUCGGUUGUCAUCACCAUUGAAAAAGAGAUCCUUAUGGAUUUUAAAACCUGAUAUGUUCUGCAUGACCGUGCAAUUGAACAGGAAAGGAGGGUGUAACAGCUCACAAACAGAAGGGAAGGAGAACACAGGGAAGCAGGUUUUUCCAGGCUCAGGUAGGGCUUUUAAUCGGCCACUUCAAUGCUUUACAACUUCACAAACUCGUCAGCUUCACAGGCAUGUAGACUUAAACUCAUUAGCUUCACAGGCACUAGUAACUUAAACACAUCAGCUUCACAAACAUAACAGAUUAAACGUAGCAGCUUCAGGAGCACCGUGGCCUUCCUUGUGCCAGACUCUCUCACUCUCUGCUGGUGGUGUGGCUGCUUAUAUGCCGCUCUCCCCAUGCUCACUGGAAUUAGAGACAGGUGUUACACAUAAUCUAGCUCAGGUGCAAGUGCCCUUACCUCUCUCUCUCCGGACGGACGCUCGACCACGCCCCCGCUGCCACAUAUCCCCACCGCCUGACUCAGGCCGGGGAGACAUCCGGCCUGUCUACCACUCCCCGCCAUUUCUGGAAAGGAAGUUGGUGACAGCUAUCUGCGCUCCCGGUCUGUGGACCACCUUGAACUUAAAUGGCUGAAGAGCCAGAUACCAACGGGUGAUCCACGCACUGGUAUCCUUCAUGUGGUGGAGCCAUUGGAGUGGGGUGUGAUCCGAGCAGAGGGUGAAGGCCCACCCCAAUAGGUAGUACCAGAGAGUGAGGACUGCCCACUUGAUGGCGAGACACUCCUUCUCUACAGUGCUAUACUUAGUCUCCCUCAGUGAGAGCUUACGGCUAAUGUACAGCACCGGGCGCUCCUCCCCCUCCACCACCUGCGAGAGUACGGCCCCCAGCCCUCUGUCUGAAGCGUCCGUCUGCAAGACAAGAGAUAAGGAAGAGAUAAAUCGGGUGAAUGUAAAAGCGGCCCCCCGCAAAGUGCGGCUUUAACCUGCAUGAACGCCUGUUGACACUGCUCCGUCCACUGGACCGGGUCUGGAGCUCCCUUUUUAGUGAGAUCAGUCAGUGGGCUGGUGACAUCCGAAUAAUUAGGCAUGAAUCUCCUAUAAUAGCCAGCCAGCCCCAGGAACUGUCUCACCUCCUUUUUGGUCUUGGGCCUCAGGCAGGUCGCAAUCACCGCAGUCUUGCCAAUUUGGGGAUGCACUUGCCCGUGGCCCAAGUGGAACCCCAGAUACAGUACCUCCACCCACCCAAUCGUGCACUUCUUGAGGUUUGCUGUGAGUCCCGCUUGUGUCAGCGAUCUCAGAACCACCCUCAGAUGCUGCAUGUGCCUCUGCCAAUCACUGCUGUAAAUGAUGAUAUCAUCUAAGUAGGCAGCGGUGUAAGCCGAAUGCGGUCUGAGGAUUCGGUCCAUAAGACACUGAAAUGUAGCCGGGGCUCCAAACAAACCGAACGGAAGCGUCACAAAUUGGUGUAAUCCAA